rnacentral:tRNA from 1 species
UCCCUGCUGGCUCAGAUGGUAAAGUAUCUGCUUACAAUGCAGGAGACCUGGAUUCAAUCCCUGGGUUGGGAA